UUACACAGGGCGAGACGGAGGCUGGCCAAGGCCAGGGGUCAGAGCCAAGGUGCCCAGGGUCCCCUGUCUGCCUGGCCCCGACAGACUGCCCUGGCAGGCAAGCAGCAGCCCCUCCUCUGGUGUGGGGCAGGCACCCAAGCUCUGGGACCUGUCCUGACACUGGGGCCUUGAGGCCAGGUGGCUGGGAGGGCGGUGUCCAGGCAGGUGGGGCUGGACGCCAGAUGAGCUUCCACACAGCUGCUGGCACAGCUGGGUCCCCAGCUUCCCAGGCCUGGAACACAGCUGGCCAUGUGAGCACAGGUCCCCAGCACCGGGGCAGCCUCACAGCCACCCACCCCGACCCUGCUAGGCUCCACGGGGAAAGGAGCCCACUGCAGCUGGGGGCCUUCAGGGACCCCCCCACACCCACAGGAAAAGCCCCUUAGCCUGGCCUGGCACAGGGGCUGCAGGGUCUGGCACUCAGGACAGCCACCGCUGCCUGGUCACCCUCACUGAGGCUGCAAUCGCCCCUUGUUCCCCCAAAGCCCCCAACCCCAGCAUCUCCAUGCUGGCUGGGACCCCGCCUUGGGUACCUGCGGGCGCCGCCUCCACCCCAGGCCGGGCUGAGCUCUAACAUCCCCGUGGCUCCGCGCUGGGUGAUCUGUCCCCAGCCAGACCAUGCAAGCUCUGGUGGGGACUGGCCCCCCUAGUCUCGGGGCCCCCGUGCUCAGCCCAGAACAAGCCCACAAGGGCCGCAGGAGACCCUUGGUGAAUGCUCAAGAAGCUGCAGGUGGACCGGCCACCAGGAGAAAAGCCAGAGCCCGACAAGGCAGCUGGGGCUCCCCCAACCCCUCAGGCUUGGGCUGGAACUCUGGGCACCACGCAGACUGAUGCCCCAUGGCCACAGGCAGACCAGGGCCCAGGACGGAGAAGUUCAGCUCCAGAAGCAGGCAACACUGCAGCCCAGGGAACCACCCGGAGGCUGACCAGCCUUCCCGUACAAGCCAUCAGAAAGGGGAGGCCACCCGGGUGCCCACCAGCGGGUGAUGAAGACAGACAUGGAGGACGACAGCGAGGAGGAACCUCAAACCUCGUGCUGUGUGAAAGGAGCCCAUCUCGAGAGGUCACACAGUGUAGGAUAGGGCGUACCAGCUGGCGGGUCUGGGGUCUCCUGGGAGGGUGAGGAAAAUGUCUCGGAAUGAGAUAAAGGUGAUGGCUGCAUAGCACGAUGAAUGCACAAAGGGUCGCUAUGUUUCAAAGGGGUUAUUUUAUGCAAUGUGAAUUUCACCUUCAUUUAAGAAAAAAGAGAAAAACGUCAUCCCAA